GUUUCACUGACAGGCUAAUGCUAAUGCUAACAUGAAUCUGCAGUUCUGAUCCAGGGGGUCGUGGAUUAAAAAGCUUUUCCUUCCUGGGUAACGUCAGACCUCAGCCUCACACUGCGGGAGGGCAGUGAGGAGGUCAGGGGUCACAGUCACCUACAAAAUACACAAGUAGGUGAGAAUUUGUCUAAAAACACUUUUAAAGGCCUAUUUUUAUAGCUCAAACAACAAAUAUCUCCUGAUAGGCUGUAACACACAGGAAACCGUCUUAGCGCCACACAGAAGCAACAUUCACAUCACUUUCUGCUCUGGACUCCAGCCGAGCAGCACCAAGGAAACAAAAUCUGGACUUUUGACAAACAAUAAGUAAAGUUCUAACUUUACCAUUAGAACUAAAGCUCCUUAGUGACGUGUUCAGGUUUGAGCUGAAUCUUCCCUCAGGUGGAAACGUAAACCUGUUCCUCCGCUCUGGCUCAGCAAACUUUCAUCAAGAUGAAUUGGAGUCGAACCUUCAGAGCUGAUAAUUCUGAGUAUUUGAGAAUAUUCAGCAAAAGUUACAUCACUUCCUGUUGAUUAGCUUCAGGCUACAUAUUGUUUUGCCCCUUAAACCAUCUUUAAAAAGCUUCUUAGUCAGGGUAACCAGCAGUUGACAACGCCACGUUGGGGAUUCGCCCCAGGAAAUAAAUCGCCAGUAAGGCACUUCAGGUUCGGGGCCAAUGAGAACAAGACUUUAUUCUACCACAAAGUAGCUACAUUUUAUUGUUUCAUGUUUUAAAAGAUAAUUAAAAUGUAAAAAACCACAAUGGGAAGGGAAGUACAGUCCAAAUGUGGGGAACUGGUUCCCAAAACAAAUGAAAUCCAAAUGAAUCACCCUGAGCACCGGUCACUGGCACAGGUCCAGUUCCUCUGGACGCCCCCCCACCGCCUUCAGCUCUCAGCCUGGAGACAAAAGGGUUAAACAGAGCAAAUACUAAAACAACAAGACACUACAAUUUAGACAUGAAGUGCUAAAAUGACCUCUAACCUCUGACAUCCAGUCAUUAAAAAUCAAUGUUUUAAUUAAGUAAUCUAAAAAAAACCCAGUCUGCUGCCCGCAGCCAGAGGAUACACAGAACGAUAGAAUAACCCAAAAACAAAUUUAAACAAAAAGUACAAAACUAAGAAACCAAACAAAUAGCUGAAAAUAAACAAAGCAGGAAAUAAAACCAACAAAGCAGCUUUUGUCUCCAGCAGCUUUCUGUCAGAGCUGGAUCCUCCAUCCACUUCAGGACUUUCUUUAUAUAAAUAUUUGUCAUUUUGUGCUAUUGAUCUGCAUGGAUGCAAUAAAAAAAAACAUUUUAUGUUGCCAGCUGAACUGGGGAGGCUAAAUUACAGUCAGACCCCAGAAACAAGCUGGAAACUUCAGGCAGUUUCUAAAUUUAAACAAUUUGAAUUGACCAACUAAACCUGCAGAUCUUAUCCUGGAGGAGAAACAUUAGAGUUAUAACCACUGCAAGCUAAGCAAGACACCUUCCUGCUGAAGAGCCACCAAAUGCAGGAAUAAAGAAACCAGCUGAGUUUCCCUUCAUGCUCAGACACAUCAUCAGGUGAUGAGCUGCCAGUUUCCCUCAGUCCUGCUCAGGCUUCAUCCUGCUACAUUCACUCAGUUUUAAAGUCCAACCUGUAACAUCAAACAUCCCUCUGGGCUCUGAGGUGGAGCAGGAACAGCUUCAUUUUACUCGUUUUAAUGCUGUGGUGUAAAAACUGCAUUAAAUGUCAGUUUAUGUUUAAUAUUGUAUGAAUAACUGAGAUGAUUUAAAUUCAUCUGUGUUCUGGGUGAGACUUGUCUCUGGUUUCUGAAGGUUCAGCCUCGCUCCAUUCUUUAUCCGCUGGCCGUUUUAAAUGAUUUAUGAUUUUUAAUUCUUCUGGUUUAGAUGGAAAAUCUUCAAAACAUUUCCUGGAUUUUGGCCUCCUGUAAAGAUCAGUGGCUCUCUGUUGACGGAGCAAAGGUUUAUUUCUGACUGUUUUCUCUCCUCUUGUUGUGUUUUCGGUUUUGUUCAUAUUUAUUUAUGUGAGUUUGAUUUUCAUUGCUGGAUAUUAUUGCUUCUCUUCCCCAGUUAUCUGCAGGAAAAGUGACAGUUUAAUGAUGAUUUGUCUCUGGUUGUGGUUUUCCGUACAGACGGAUGAAGUUCUGCUCAGCGGCUCGCAGAAACAAAUCUCCAGCCUGUGAGACGGAAACCUGGGGACAAAAUCACUCUGGACUUUGGAGACCAAAAGCUGAGAGAGGCGGAUUGGGUCGUUUGGUCUCGUGGUUCGGACAGCGCCAUCCUGGCUCAGUACGUCAAAAAAGACUUAUUUAUGUUAUCCAAGAGGUUCCGGCUGGAUACAGAAACCGGGUCGCUCACCAUCCUCAACCUCUGUGUGAACGACACCGGAACCUAUCAGGGCCAGAACCUGAACGGAAACACGGAGACGUUUUCACCGGACUGUUGACGAACCGGUCCACAGUCCAGUAACCUCUGAACCUUCACCAGGCAGGUCACACCGGUCCAGUGCCGCUGCUCCGUCUCUGCUGGUUCUGCUCGGCGCUGCUAACAUGCUAACCGGUUUCUGACUGAGAACCAACGAGCUGAAGGGGAAAGAUACAAUCAGGCCAGUAACAGUCCGAUCUGGAUCUUCUUGGACAGAAACAUCUGCAGCCUCCAGCUGUGACUCUGGAGCUCAUCGUCCAAAACAUGAGACGGAUUUAAGGAGCCAUGAUUCAGUGAUUUGGUCGUAAACGUUUAAACCUGAACAGAAACAUUCACACUAAUGAACAAAACUCAUUUUCAGUUAGUUGAUCCCUGCAGGAAUCGGACAGUCGAACGUUGAGCUGCUGCUGGGGAAACCGUGACGUUCCUGCUGUCUUCUCUGGGUCAGAACCCAAUACAGUAAUUAUGGUUGGUUGUCAUAACGGCUCCAUCUGGAGAAAUGGACUUUACUGUUACACUUAUGCUUAUUUGAUCCUUUAAAGGCGACAUAUCAAACUUUAAAUCCUUUGUUUUCAUAUUUAAAUCAUUCAGUUGAAAUGAUUUAACUGAAGUGAUGAUCCUCCUGAGAAUUUUAACAUGUUACUUUGAAACACGUUACAUCGUUAUGAAAGCGAUGAAUAAUCCACUCAACUCCUCCUGUGCAGAAACUGAAGCAGAUUUCUUUGUUUCUGCUGAUUCAGGAAAUCUGAUCAAUUAUCUGAACGCUUCAACUGUUAGAGAUUUAAUUUUUUCUCUGUUGUUUAAAUAUUUAAAGAUAAGUUAUGACUUUAUUUUAAAAAAAGACUCCACAAAGCGAACGAGUAGUUCUGGGAGAUUAAACUGAUGAAGCUCAGCUCCUCCUCUUCCUCCUAAACGUUCAAACCUCCAUGAUUUAUUGCCAGAAUUUAACCAGCAGAAACUUUAAAUCUUCAUCUCACUUUGUUUUUUGUUCUCUUGAAUUUGUGAGCAGAUAAAGUUACACAACCAUCUGAAAUGUUUUAUUUCUGGGAUUUACUCUUAACUUAAUAUUUAUUGCAUUUGAGUCUUUAUGAUUUGCUAUUUUAUUUUAAAUGCAUUAAAAUAACUCACAAAUAUGGUUUGUUAAUUAAUUAAUGUGGUUAUCAUAAAGUUCAAACCCUCUGCAGUCCAUCAGGUUUCCACCUUCAGUGUAGAAGUCAGAGCUGAACCAACCAGAUGUUUUCCUUGCUGUAAACAUUCAGCUGCUCUGUGUUUUCACUAUUUGUCCUGUUUUGCAUUAUAACAAUAAAACGAGGUUAAUUUUCA